rnacentral:rRNA from 1 species
UACGGAGGGUGCAAGCGUUGUCCGGAAUCACUGGGCGUAAAGGGCGCGUAGGCGGCUCAUGAAGUCUGUGGUGAAAGUCCGGGGCUCAACCUCGGAUCGGCCGUGGCGACUCGUGGGCUGGAGCACUGUAGAGGCGGGUGGAAUUCCGGGUGUAGCGGUGGAAUGCGUAGAGAUCCGGAAGAACACCCGUGGCGAAGGCGGCCCGCUGGGCAGUGGCUGACGCUGAGGCGCGACAGCGUGGGGAGCAAACAGG